rnacentral:rRNA from 1 species
AAAAGAUGGCGGCAGCCUAAUACAUGCAAGUCGAGCGGACUUGAUGAGAAGCUUGCUUCUCAGAUAGUUAGCGGCGGACGGGUGAGUAACACGUAGGCAACCUGCCCUCAAGCUUGGGACAACUACCGGAAACGGUAGCUAAUACCGAAUACUUGCUUUCUUCGCCUGAAGAAAGCUGGAAAGACGGAGCAAUCUGUCACUUGGGGAUGGGCCUGCGGCGCAUUAGCUAGUUGGUGAGGUAACGGCUCACCAAGGCGACGAUGCGUAGCCGACCUGAGAGGGUGAUCGGCCACACUGGGACUGAGACACGGCCCAGACUCCUACGGGAGGCAGCAGUAGGGAAUCUUCCGCAAUGGGCGAAAGCCUGACGGAGCAAUGCCGCGUGAGUGAUGAAGGUUUUCGGAUCGUAAAGCUCUGUUGCCAGGGAAGAACGCUUGGGAGAGUAACUGCUCUCAAGGUGACGGUACCUGAGAAGAAAGCCCCGGCUAACUACGUGCCAGCAGCCGCGGUAAUACGUAGGGGGCAAGCGUUGUCCGGAAUUAUUGGGCGUAAAGCGCGCGCAGGCGGUCAUGUAAGUCUGGUGUUUAAUCCCGGGGCUCAACCCCGGAUCGCACUGGAAACUGGGUGACUUGAGUGCAGAAGAGGAGAGUGGAAUUCCACGUGUAGCGGUGAAAUGCGUAGAUAUGUGGAGGAACACCAGUGGCGAAAGCGACUCUCUGGGCUGUAACUGACGCUGAGGCGCGAAAGCGUGGGGAGCAAACAGGAUUAGAUACCCUGGUAGUCCACGCCGUAAACGAUGAGUGCUAGUGUUAGGGGUUUCGAUACCCUUGGUGCCGAAGUUAACACAUUAAGCACUCCGCCUGGGGGAGUACGGUCGCAGACUGAAACUCAAAAGAAUUGACGGGACCCGCCACAAGCAGUGGAGUAUGUGGUUAAUUCGAAGCACGCGGAGACUUACAGUCUGACAUCUGAUGACGUGCAGAGAUGUGCUUCGUCGGACAUCCAGGACCGUUGUUGCAUGCUUGUCGUCCAGCUCGUGUCCUGAAUGGUAGGCUUAGUCCGCAACGAGCGCAAUCAUGACUAGCUGCCAGUGAAUCGAUGCACGUAACGGUACUGCCGUGACAAUCCG